GUCGAGAAUCAUUCACAAUGGGCGAAAGCCUGAUGGUGUGACGCCGCGUGGAGGAUGAAGGUCUUCGGAUUGUAAACUCCUGUCAUGUGAGAGUAAAGCCGGGCGUUAACUGCGUGCCGGUUUGAGAGUAUCACAAGAGGAAGAGACGGCUAACUCUGUGCCAGCAGCCGCGGUAAUACAGAGGUCUCAAGCGUUGUUCGGAAUCACUGGGCGUAAAGGGUGCGUAGGCUGCACGGUAAGUCAGAGGUGAAAUCCCGGAGCUCAACUUCGGAAUUGCCUCCGAUACUGCCGUGCUUGAGGACUGGAGAGGAGAUUGGAAUUCACAGUGGAGCAGUGAAAUGCGUAGAUAUUGUGAGGAACACUAGUGGCGAAGGCGAAUCUCUGGACAGUUCCUGACGCUGAGGCACGAAGGCCAGGGGAGCAAACGGGAUUAGAAACCCGAGUAGUCC
rnacentral:rRNA from 1 species